rnacentral:rRNA from 1 species
UACGUAGGGCGCAAGCGUUAUCCGGAAUUAUUGGGCGUAAAGAGCUCGUAGGCGGUUUGUCGCGUCUGCCGUGAAAGUCCGGGCUCAACUCCGGAUCUGCGGUGGGUACGGGCAGACUAGAGUGAUGUAGGGGAGACUGGAAUUCCUGGUGUAGCGGUGAAAUGCGCAGAUAUCAGGAGGAACACCAGCGGCGAAGGCGGCGCUCUGGGCCGGUACUGACACUGAGGAGCGAAAGCGUGGGUAGCAAACAGG